ensembl:rRNA 5S_rRNA 5S ribosomal RNA
AUCUAUGGCCAUACCACCCUGAACGCGCUGAUCUCAUCUGAUCUCGGAAGCUGAGCAGGGUCAGGCCUGGUUAGUAUUUGGGUGGGAAACCACCUGGGAAUACCGGGUGCCGUAGGCU